rnacentral:rRNA from 1 species
AUUGAACGCUGGCGGCAGGCCUAACACAUGCAAGUCGAACGGCAGCACGGUUAGUGCUACCUGGUACGGGGGGCGAGUGGCGGACGGGAUAGGACGACACCGGUAUUUACGUUGGCGAGGGGCCGACGGAAGGGAGACUAACGCCACUACCGCACACGGCCUACAGGUGAAAGCACGUGGUCUUCGGCGCUUGCGCGAUGGCAGGUGCCGAUGUCGGAUUAGCUAGGUGGAGGGGUAAAGGCCCACCAAGGCGACGAUCCGUAGCUGGUCUGAGAGGAUGAUCAGCCACACUGGAACUGAGACACGGUCCAGACUCCUACGGGAGGCAGCAGUGGGGAAUAUUGGACAAUGGGCGAAAGCCUGAUCCAGCCAUGCCGCGUGUGUGAAGAAGGCCUUCGGGUUGUAAAGCCCUUUUGUUGGGAAAGAAAAGCAGCAAGUUAAUACCCUGCUGUUAUGACGGUACCGGAAGAAUAAGCACCGGCUAACUUCGUG